rnacentral:tRNA from 1 species
UCCCUGGUCCAAUGGCUAGGACUCUGUACUCCCAAUGUAGGGGACUCAGGUUCAAUCCCUGGUCAGGGAA